AGAUCAUACACAAAGAAGGCUGAGGGUUAGCAGAGAAACAUGGAAUCUGGAAAGAAGAGUACUCUGGCUCUGCUACCACUCUUCCUUUCUUUCCUGUUUUACUUUGAUUUCUCAAAAAAGCUUCCCUCAAGUGACUGCAGCCUUCUGCCUCAUAAUCACUAUUGGAUAUCCAGCAAACGUAUUGUGACUCCAAACGGGACAAUUUCCGGUGCAGUUGAGAUAAAGGAAGGAAGAAUUAUAUCUGUUGUUGCUGAAGAGAAUUGGCA
rnacentral:misc_RNA from 1 species